GCCUGCGUUGCACAGUGGUAGUGCGUGUCUUUCCUAUCAACUCCUCGUCACGGGAUUUCAGAAAGGACAAGGUCGUGGGUUCGAUCCCCACCGUGGGUU